rnacentral:rRNA from 1 species
AUUGAACGCUGGCGGCAGGCCUAACACAUGCAAGUCGAACGGUAACAGGAAGACGCUUGCUUCUUUGCUGACGAGUGGCGGACGGGUGAGUAAUGUCUGGGAAACUGCCUGAUGGAGGGGGAUAACUACUGGAAACGGUAGCUAAUACCGCAUAACGUCGCAAGCCCAAAGAGGGGGACCUUCGGGCCUCUUGCCAUCGGCUGUGCCCAGAUGGGGUUAGCCAGUAGGUGGGGCAACGGCUCACCUAGGCGACGAUCCCUAGCUGGUCUGAGAGGAUGACCAGCCACACUGGAACUGAGACACGGUCCAGACUCCUACGGGAGGCAGCAGUAGGGAAUAUUGCACAAUGGGCGCAAGCCUGAUGCAGCCAUGCCGCGUGUGUGAAGAAGGCCUUCGGAUUGUAAAGUACUUUUAGCGGGGAGGAAGGGAGUAAAGUUAAUACCUUUGCUCAUUGACGUUACCCGCAGAAGAAGCACCGGCUAACUCCGUG